UUCCUUUUUCCUUUUUUUCCCUUUCCCUUCCCAUCCCUCCCGUUACCUCCCAUGCCCGACCGAGCCCAGCCAGACGCCAGACGAGCGCCCCCUGCUUCUUCCUCCUCUCCUCGUUCUUCUGUUCUGUUCUUCAUUUUCUCCUCAAAUGCCUCCAUUUUCUAGCCCAAAUUAGUGCAGUUUGAUCCCAUUUAACCUACAAAAUCGCAUCCCCUACCUAGUUGGCACCCAAAGACACCUCGAUCUACUGUUUUCAUAGGCCAUAUAGAGAUAAUUUUGUGGUGCAAAGUUGGAGCAAUGGUGGUGGUUUUGAGGAGUUUGGAGGUGGUGGUGGUGCUCAUCUGGUGACUGUGAGGCCGCUCGAGGUUGGGGUUCACACGCUUCAAGGGUAAAUCCUAAUCUCUCACGUAUUUAUCCUAUAAUGUAUAUGUUUAUGAGGAUACGUGUGUAUGUAUAUAUAGAAGUAUGUUUUAGCGUUUGGUAGUGCUCAUUAUUUUGGACAACGGUUAAUGUCGUACUGCUUAGUAUUUGAUGUGUCUAAAUAUUAUGGCCGGUAGUAAUAUGUUUUGAUAGAUUAGAUUUUUUUUUGAUGCUGUACUGUUUAGUAUUUGACACGUAUUAAUAUUUUAAAUCUGUCGUACUGUUUAGUACUUGACGCGUCUAAAUAGUAUGGCCGGUAGUAAUAUGUUUUGAUUAGGCUAGAAUUUAUUUAUGCCGUACUGUUUAGUAUUUGACGCGUAUUAAUAUUUUUAAUAUGCCGUACUGCUUAGUAUUUGACGCGUCCUAAUAUUUUUUAUAUGCUGUACUGCUUAGUAUUUGACGCGUCUAAACAUUUUUUUAGACAUCAAAGAUGUCCGGUGUAGUGAAGUUUGUUUUUUACUACGGUUCCGGUACUGUCUUAACAACCGAGCACGGAGCUGAUCUGAGUCAGUUUAAGUAUGUGGAGUUGGAUCUAACGGCCCCUCAAACAUGGACGUUUAGUCAGUUGCAGGAAUGGUUGGUAGGAUGUUUACUACUCAAUCCUGAAACAUACACCGUCUGUGUGCAAACAUUGUGGACCAAGUCAAGUUCAAAUAUUUUCUGGGUUUUGAGGCCGAUAGACCGGACAUCAAAGUGGGUGCGCUGGUUAGAAAGUUGCGAGAAAAAAAGGAACUACACCUGUCGCCUUAAUCUAGGUAGUCGCUCAUGAGACCAAUCCAGCUGAAGGCCAGGGUGAAUCAAGUAAACCGUGUAUCCGGGGUCACGGUACCGUGAAAUCCGUCCAAAACCCAAAAAACGUGGGCUAUAUAUAGCCCACGAAAACGGCCAAAACGGUGAAUUUUCUGCAGCGGCCCGAAACUGCCACAAACUGUGUACCCAGCGUCACGGUACCUCAAAAUUCGCCCGGAACCUGAAAAACGUGGGCUAUGGCCCACGGAAACGGUAAAAAUGUUGAAUUUUAUGUACCGUCUGAAACUACCCGAAACCGUAUACCCAGGGUCACGGUACCUCAAAAUCGACCGGGAACACUAAAAACGUGGGCAAUCGUCGCCGAAAACGGCCAAAACAUUGAAUUUUCUGCACCGGCCCGAAUCUGCUCGAAACCGUGUACCCGAGGUCACGGUACCUCAAAAUUGACCAGGAACACUAAAAACGUGGGCUAUAGCCCAUGAAAACGGCCAAAACGGUGAAUUUUCUGCACCGGCCCGAAACCGUUUACCCGGGGUCACGGUACCUCAAAAUCGGCCCGAAACCCCAAAAACGUGGGCGAUAGCUCACGAAAACGGUCUAAACUGUGAAUUUUCUGCAUCUGCUCGAAACCGUGUACCCGGGUCACGGUACCGUGAAAUCCGCCUAUAACCCAAAAAACGUGGGCUAUAACCCACGAAAACGGACAAAACGAUGAAUUUUCUUCAGCGGCCUGAAACUGCCCCAAACUGUGUACCCGAGGUCGCAGUACCUCAAAAUCGGCCCGGAUCCUUAAAAACGUGGGCCGUAGCCCUCAAAAACUGCCAAAACGAUGAAUUUUCUGCACCGGCCCGAAUCUGCACGAAACCGUAUACGCAGGGUCACGGUAUCUCAAAAUCGGCCAAGAACACGAAAGAACGUGGGCUAUAGCCCACGAAAAACGGCCAAAACUGUGAAUUUUCUGCACGACAGUUUCGGGUUAAUUUUGAGAUACCGUGACCUGGUUACACGGUUUGGGACAGUUUCAGACCGGUGCAGAAAAUUCACCGUUUUGCCUUUCAUGGGCUUUAGCCCACAAAACGGGCAAGACAGUGAAUUUUCACUGCGGAGUGUACGUCAUGGCAGUGCAGCCAAUCAAAGACCUCCACUUCCUCCGGCCACAAGGAGCUCAGGUUGAUCAAGCACAAGGUUUGCUGCUACGGAAGCCAUGGCCAGAUGGCCUAUCUUUUCUAGCUACCCUUCUACUGUACUCCAACUAGCUGGAGUCAGAAGAACCAUACAUGAGCUGGCUUCUGUACACAACGCCUCUUCCUCUCUUCUUCAUGUCCUUGUCUUGCCCGUAUUCAUUCCUUUCUCAACUCUCUUUAUCGUGACAGAACAUUGAGGUGGAAAGAAUAAACUGGAAACACUCAAUUAAGCAGAACAUUGAGGUGGAAAGAAUUCCCAUUACUGGUACCAAACCAAAAUGAGUAGGAAUGUUCAUAGCUACUCAUGCUUAAGGCAUAAGGCAUGGUACUAACUUGAACGAAUAUGUUUGUCCGUUCGACCAAUUUGAUACUACUCAGGCAUCCCCUACUACGCACGUGCUCAUAGCCAGUCACCAUUUACAAACUCCCAAGGCCAAAACAAUAAUAGCACGUACAAGAGUCAGUCAUACCUUAGUGACUGACUAACAAAAUAACCCAGUGCUGCUGUUAUUAAUUGAGGUCACAGGAUCUUGCGAUCAUCCAAGCAGAUCACUUCUGUUGCACCCUUGGAUGCCGCCGACUCGGGAGAAGACUCGAUCACCGUCAACUUUUCAUCCAGAUCAUGUAUCUGCUUCUUUAACUUGUCUCCACGGUCAGGCAGCCUUGACACCAGUGUCUGCAACAAUUGGUUCAUUCUUUAACAUCAGUUUACCUUCUCUUAGAUGAAGCAAAAGAGUAAUGGUUAAUCUAUCUAAUGCAAAAUAAAAUUUCAACAGAUUUACCGUGUUUGCAAGGGUUUGCGACAGUCUGUUGAUUUUUGCCUUGAUUUCUUCAGGGCUCUCUGAACUUGUGUUGAUUGGCGAGUAUGUUCUAGGAGUGAAUUCCUUUGGCUUGAAAGCAUGGGCAGCCCUACAUGAAAUACAUGUCAGGUUAAAGUUAGCGGUUGCGCUUAAUACUAAGUAGAUGCAAUCCACUCAGUACUAAAGAUCAACAAGGCUUACCCAUUGGCAACAUAGUCAGAUGAGGAUGCCUUGUACUGCCUGCCCAUCAUGGGCAUGGUUGGGGGCUUGCUGCACACAAAAAACAUCGUAACUGCUAUUAGAUCAGGCCUGGGACAUGCCUAGCUAAUGUCAGGAAUCAAAACAAGCGAGCCUUUUGUAUAAGGCAGCAACACUCACUUGUCCAGUGCCUCGUUCUCACUCAACGUAGGCAAGAUUGCUGCUUUGGUAAAUAGGAGGCUGUGAUGGCUCACGCCCGCUAUUCCUUGUUGCUCUAGAAACAGUAUGUGCUCCCUCAAGGACUCAUCCCUGCAAAAUGCAGUAAACUUCUCAGCUGAGAACAUACAAUCAGGGAUGAAGCAGCUCCCUGACCAGCUAAAUCAUUCAAAAACUUGGUGUUAGAUUUCUCUUUGAUGCCCCAUAUCAUCACACCUAAAGAACUAAAUCCUUCUAUAUAUCAAAUUGUCUACGUAACUCCAGGGGGGGCUCAGACAUUUUGGUGUGCACACUCUGCAUGAUUAAUACUAGGUAAUAAGAAAAACCAGGUCCAUUCCAAAUUUAUGUUUUAUAAAUGUAUUUAUCUAUGUAUGAAACCUCAAAUAGCCAGAGUGUUGAUUAGACCAAGUAUGCAAGGGAUUAUGUUAACAAACUUUUCAAAGUGUCACUCUGCCGGCUCAUCGAGAUCAAAGUAUCUCUGCCAGAAUUAAUAGAACAGCAGUAAACGUCUUACAUGACAAGUUGCUGUUCAUGCUCUUCCUGCAAUUGUUUCUGCGUAAGGGAAACAUCAAAACCUUGUUCUGGCAGACUAAAGAGCUCUUGAAUGUCCUGAAGAUACGCACAAGAAUUAGCAUAGAAUUUGGUAGGACAUCCAGCAAGCAAUGACAAGAAAUGGUAUCAGGAUCAUUACCCUCUUGCUGAAGUAACGUGUUUGUUCCUUUUGCUCCGUGGCUGUCCUAAACAGAGCCCCUUUGAAAACCUGGAAAAAAGUAUUAUAUCAUUCAAGGAAGUGGAGGUAUAGAACUUGAAGCUAAAGAUUUCGUAUGGAGAACAUUGGAGUGCACAGUAAAAAGUGCCACCCAACCCUGCCUAGACUGCCGAGUUUCUUGUCUGAAAGAAGUCGAACGCGAUGAGAAUUUAUCAAAACUUCACUUUCUUAUAAAAACAAGUUUGAAAGCAAGGAUCCAAAUAUCACCAUGUAAAUUGGGAUAAAGAAAGUGUAUGCAUUUAACAAGGUUUCCAAUAAUGGCUUUCAAAGAAUUAGAUAUGAACAACACAGGUCCAGGGGAUAAAAAUUAAAAACUAAUAAAAUAUAUAUCAUAUUGAACCUGCAAUUUAUAUAUUUUCUCUUCAAUGGUUCCAGACGUCAUCAAGCGGUAUACAAUCACAUCUUUGGUCUGACCAAUUCGAUAAGCACGAUCAACACUUUGAUUGUCCGUACUGUAAAAGAAGAUUGUGUUAACAAACAAACUUGAUGUAUGAAGCAUUCUAUGAAACAAAAGGAAUACGCUCGAUCAGGAAGUGGCACUGUUUGACCUUGGAUUCCAGGCAGGAUCAACUACUAUGACACGAGCUGCCUUGGUGAGCGUAAGUCCAAGACCACCAACUUGUGUGGUCAGCAGAAAUAUUUGAGCUCCAGGACCCUCUUGGAAGUCCUGGACAGGCAAAUGCACAGUAUGUGGGGAAGACAUCAGAGAUAAUUGAGAUCACCACACAAGCCAACAUAAAAAGGGAUAGCGGAAUAGGGACCUUCACAAUCCUUUCCCUCUCUGAAAUCUUGGUGGUACCAUCAAUGCGCAAAAACUUGUAGCCCUCUAAUAAUAUAGCUUCCUAUUACAAUAAUUGAAUGUGCUAAGUUAGUAGGCCAAAGUUACAACACGGUAAGCAUCCAUAUAUAAAAAAUGAUGAUAAUGGACAUAUACUCAAUAGAAAUGGAAUUGUAAAUGGAGAGUACAACAGCAGCUUGAUGCAUAUAGGCCAAGCAAUCGCUGCUGUUAUACGCACUCCGAUGCCAGCAGUAGAUCAAGGAUGCCAUAAGCCACUAGUCAUGCAAAAGCUCAUAUUAUCAGACCAUUUGCUCUGAAGUAGUUUUACUUCAUUAUCGACAAAGAAUUGAAUAUGAUGUGCCUCUUCUGGUGCAAACAUAUUGUGUAAGGCCCUUAGUUAUAGUAAUUAGUAAGGUGUGCAUGUGCUGCAAUCUCAUUUAAGAAAAUGGUAAUAACUCUGAUUCAAAUACUGCAUAUCACAAGAAAAUGGCAUGCACUGCAAAGCAAACGGGGGGAGCAGGGCAUGUAAAGAACAUACCUGAAUAAGAUUUAGCAUUUUACGAGUCUGAGAAAAGAUUAGAACAUGGUGUCCCUCUUCAAGAAGUUUCCUCUGCAACAUUAGACAUUAACCACUUAGUUUGGCAGAUAGAUUGCUGACAAGUAACAUGUGCAUGCAUCAAUGAAAUGCUUACCAACAAGGACAUGAUAAAAGAUAAUUUGCAUGAGACUUCCUGAUCGACUUGCAGUGCAUCAUCAUCAUGAGCCAUAUCUGCGAGGUUCUUGGCCAUUUUUUCGACCAUCCCAAUUUCCUGAUUAUUUAAUCCAUCCAUGCCCUCCAUGCCUUCCAAGAUGCCCUCAGCGGCUCUCUUAGUCAAUAUCAGUGGGUGAUCACAUAUUUUCUUCAAUAUCUGUUGAAGAACAGAAAAAACAAGAAAAAAAAUUUAACAGCAUAGCACCAGAGAACAUGCACAUAAUGAAAAAAUGAUAAAUUAAGGCCACACAAUUAGAAAAUGCCUCCCAUAAAAAAUAUACUCCACCCAUUUCAUUUUUCAAGGUCAUGCUUACUGUGAUCGCAGCCAAGGGUGAUCCUUGCAUUGAUGAAUGAACUAGCUCACUGUUCAGAAAAGCUUCGUAUAAUUGCCUCUGCAGCCAUAAGAAGAUAAAAUUGCCAAAUUGUCAUUAGCCAAUUACUCGACCAGUAUUGUAUCAAUGACACCAAAAUUUGUACCUGGCAAGCUGUUAACUUCAGCCAGAUAAUUAGCUCGUUCUUCUUAGAGAGCUUUUUAUCAUCUGUUGAACCAGUGUCAAGGAAAACUUCACUUUUCAUACGGCGCAAGAAGUAUGGCUUUAUCCGUUCUCUUAAUUCCUGUGAGGAAUAGUCAAGAAACAAAUAAGAAAACACAACUUAUAACAGGGUUGGUAUGGCAGACUUCAGAUAAUAAUAUGGAAGGAUGAGUGAUAACAUUUCAACAACAAAAUGCAGCAAACUAAGAGAGUAAGAGUGCGACUAAAAGUGGACAUUAGUUAGCCUGGAAUCCAAAUGCAAUUUUGUCCACAUUACUUUCACAUUUCAAAUCAGAGAUGGAUGUGAUACAUUGCUGAUAUAUGAAUACAGACUACAGUGUGUGUGUGUAAUUUCUCAACAAAAUGACAAUGACAAAAAGUAAUGUCACACAUAUGGAAUAUACUCCAAAAACCAUGACAUUUUAUAAUACCAAAUGCCAACAUAAAGGAACAUCCUGUUCUUAUCCAAAGGUCAAAAAGAAUGAGGAAACGUCAAAAUUAUUCGCCCACAAUAAGAAAAGGAAAGCGGAAUUACGUAUGAUCUAUCUCUUGAACAUGGACACAAAAGAGAAUAUUACCUUUGCCACAUUUGAUCCUAUGUGCUUCUCUCUAUUGGUAGCACUCUUGUCAUUUCCUCGAAGGAUGGGCAACUCAUAUCUUGUUUUGAACCUGCAAUAAUCUAGAGAAAUAAAUAACAGCAAAUGGUGCAAGGUAAAGCAACAUUGCUAAUGCAGGAAAACAAGAGAGCAAGUGAAUUACUCAUCCUUAUCACCCAAGAUUUCCGGGCAACAGAAAAAGAACAAAGCCCACAUUUCCUGUAAGAAAACACAGGUUUACUUGCAUCAGUAAUAAGAGCGCAAAGCAUGCAGGAGCAUAUAAACUACAAUGUUUUAGGAAUUUCAGAUAGAUGGUACCUUCAAGUUAUUUUGUAUAGGUGUUCCACUGAUGACAAUGCGAUGGACACAAGGUAUUUGAAGUAAACUCUGGGCCCUCUGUGUUUUGGGGUUCUUGAUGAUAUGUCCCUCAUCAAGAAUAACAUAGUCCCAUAACCUCCCUUCCUCCUCGUCAUCAGCAUCAUUGUAGAAGUCACCUCUCAUCAGCUUGUAGUUGUUCCGGACAAUAUCGUAUGUCGUUAGUAGGAUACCACCCACCUGUACAAGAUGAUGAGUUUGUUUUUGCGGGGAAGAUGAUAAGGAGUUAAAAUAGCUGUUGUGACUAAUUAAAAUAUCUUUAUCUUGAGAUAAUAAGGCAUUCUUUUAAUCGGGUUUUGCACUUGCAACAGAAAAAAUGGUGCUUAUGCAAAAAUGAGUCGCUGCUCCAAUUUAGUGGUUCGGACUACCGGCUAUUACAAAAUCCAAGGUUGAAAGAAGCCAGGAUAUGAAUAAUCAACAGAAGACAUUUAUGUAAUGAGAGUGGGAAACC
rnacentral:lncRNA from 1 species